UACGGGGGGAGCAAGCGUUGUUCGGAUUUACUGGGCGUAAAGGGCGCGUAGGCGGUCGUGACAAGUCACUUGUGAAAUCUCCGGGCUUAACUCGGAACGGUCAAGUGAUACUGUCGGACUAGAGUACAGAAGGGGCAACUGGAAUUCUCGGUGUAGCGGUGAAAUGCGUAGAUAUCGAGAGGAACACCUGCGGCGAAGGCAGGUCUCUGGGCCGAUACUGACGCUGAGGAGCGAAAGCGUGGGGAGCGAACAGG
rnacentral:rRNA from 1 species